AUUGAACGCUGGCGGCAUGCCUUACACAUGCAAGUCGAACGGUAACGGGCCUUCGGGUGCCGACGAGUGGCGAACGGGUGAGUAAUGCAUCGGAACGUACCUUUCAGUGGGGAUAACGUAGCGAAAGUUACGCUAAUACCGCAUAUUCUGUGAGCAGGAAAGCAGGGGAUCGCAAGACCUUGCGCUGAUUGAGCGGCCGAUGUCAGAUUAGCUAGUUGGUGAGGUAAAGGCUCACCAAGGCGACGAUCUGUAGCGGGUCUGAGAGGAUGAUCCGCCACACUGGAACUGAGACACGGUCCAGACUCCUACGGGAGGCAGCAGUGGGGAAUUUUGGACAAUGGGGGCAACCCUGAUCCAGCCAUGCCGCGUGAGUGAAGAAGG
rnacentral:rRNA from 1 species